ACAACCAGUUCCAUUUCGAUACAAGUUCUUAAACUUGAUGAAAAUGAGAAGUAAGAACUGCAGUGGAUAAGUAUUGAUUAUAGCUCAAUCUACAUAGACAUAGACUAAAAAAAAGAUCUUGGUCAAUUGAAUGUUUGAUGUGAAAUGAGCAUUCUAUGCUACAACAGGCACUUCUACAACCACCAGCCAUGCUUGAUCUUGUAAAAACUGUGCAAGCAUACUUUGACUGCAAAAAUUCUUGCGCACUAGUGGAAAUGUGAAGCUUCCCAUGUCUGAAAUCAAUGAAAGUUGCACUGUUGCAAUAAAGGAUGAGAAUAAUCUACAUACUUCUCCCAAAGAGGCUUGUACUUUUCCAUCCCAAUUUUCAGCCAUGGCUUUGAGUUCCCAUUGAAGUGCAACACUGCCCCCUUCUCUAUCAAGUGAUGAUCGACAUUUGUGUAUCCCAAUCCCAACACAUGCCAUGAGGGAUCUAACGGUUGUGUCAAACCAUAGAAGGUCAGAAGUCCAGGUGGUAGAGUCCCAAGUUUCCAAAGUGUCCUGUCUACAUU
rnacentral:misc_RNA from 1 species